rnacentral:lncRNA from 1 species
UCUAAGUUCCUUGUAAGAUUGGAUGUCAAGCCCUUCGACGCUAUGAAAAUCACAGAAACCCUGGUCUUUUGUACUUUCUUCUUUGAGAAUUCUACUAGACAGACAGAGUAAGCCCUUUUCAACCAUCAUCUCCCAUACCUUCUGCAAAUGUGUCUUUACUUCGGCAACAUAACCUUUGGCUUGCCAAUUGUCUUCAUUUGUCACCGUAUUUACAUUUCCACUAGUAUGGUUAGGAAGAGGAUUUCC